rnacentral:rRNA from 1 species
AUUGAACGCUGGCGGCAGGCCUAACACAUGCAAGUCGAGCAGACGCAGAGAGCUUGCUCUCUGAUUCAGCGGCGGACGGGUGAGAAAUGCUGAGGAAUCUGCUUGGUAGUGGGGUGCAACGUAUCGAAAGGAACGCUAAUACCGCAUACUUCCUACGGGAGAAAGCAGGGGACCUUCGGGCCGUCGGCUAUCAGAUGAGCUUAGGUCGGAUUAGGUAGUAGGUGGGGUAAAGGCUCACCUAGGCGACGAGCCGUAACUGGUCUGAGAGGAUGAGCAGUCACACUGGAGCUGAGACACGGUACAGAAUCCUACGGGAGGCAGCAGUGGGGAAUAUUGUACAAUGGGCGAAAGCCUGAUCCAGCCAUGCGGCGUGUGUGAAGAAGGUCUUAGGAUUGUAAAGCACUUUAAGUUGGGAGGAAGGGCAGUAAGCUAAUACCUUGCUGUUUUGACGUUACCAACAGAAUAAGCACUGGCUAACUUCGUGCCAGCCGCCGCCGUAAAAC